GGUGGCUCAGUGGUGGAGUGCUUGCCUUGCAUGCAUGAGGACCUGGGUUCAAUUCCUCAGCACCA
rnacentral:tRNA from 1 species